UUUACAUUUAUGGUGCUCAUAGUCAAACCUCAUUUUUAAGCUUUCUUAUAGUGCAUGCUUGGUUAAACUAAAUAACUUUUUUGCAAGUGAAAGCUUGAUAUUAUUCGGUUAGGAAUUGAUUAAGUAUCGAGUUUUCCAUGUUAAUUGGGGUUUCUCUGGUGCUGACACUUUGUGGAGCACUAGAUGGAUUUACAUCAAGGUGCAAAAUCAAAUAGCAUUUGUAUUCAAUGAUAAGUUUCCAUUGGAUUACUGGAAAAAUCAAAUAGCAGUUGUUUCAGCAUCCUAACCCUCCCAACAUCGAUUUUGGACGUUGAUAUUGAUGAUAUUUUUCAAAUUGCUCAUUACCUAGAUAUAAAUUAUCCUAACCCUCCCCAUGAAAAUCUAACAAACCCUCUGAAUCCCGACUUUUUCGAUGGGGUUUUGCAAAAUCCUCAAAACCAAC
rnacentral:lncRNA from 1 species